GGCGGCCAGGUUGGGAAUGGUCUUGACCAUGCAGUUGCAGACAACGUCGGCGGCGGGACCUUGGGGAUAGAGUAGAGAGGAGACAGGGCUCGCGACCUGGGAGUAUUCGAACCAUCUUUUGGGUGAGGGAUUGAAAAAAGAACUCUUGUGGCGAGAGAGGUUUUCAAGAAGAUGUUAGAGCAUUCAGGAUUGAGAUUUCAAAAGCUGGUGCUGACUAUGUUUAGAACAGAAAAGUUCAGAGUAAAACUCCUCUGAGAUAAAGUAUGGGCAAACAGGAUGUUAUCAAUCUUCAAAAUAUCAGAAGAGAGAAUGAAAGG
rnacentral:sRNA from 2 species